UUCGGUGCUCCUCUGUGGCAUAAAGCCAU
rnacentral:sRNA from 1 species